rnacentral:rRNA from 1 species
CCUACGGGGGGCAGCAGUGGGGAAUAUUGGACAAUGGGGGCAACCCUGAUCCAGCCAUGCCGCGUGUGUGAAGAAGGCCCUCGGGUUGUAAAGCACUUUCAGUGAGGAAGAACGCCUGGUGGUUAAUACCCAUCAGGAAAGACAUCACUCACAGAAGAAGCACCGGCUAACUCCGUGCCAGCAGCCGCGGUAAUACGGAGGGUGCGAGCGUUAAUCGGAAUUACUGGGCGUAAAGCGCGCGUAGGUGGCUUGAUAAGCCGGUUGUGAAAGCCCCGGGCUCAACCUGGGAACGGCAUCCGGGAAGUGCAAGGUUAGGGGGAGGGGGGGGAAGGAAGAAUUCCCGGGUUGGGGGUAAAUGCGUAGAGAUCGGGAGGAAUACCAGUGGCGAAGGCGGCCUUCUGGACUGACACUGACACUGAGGUGCGAAAGCGUGGGUAGCAAACAGGAUUAGAUACCCUUGUAGUC